rnacentral:rRNA from 1 species
AUUGAACGCUGGCGGCAGGCCUAACACAUGCAAGUCGAGCGGAUGAAGGGAGCUUGCUCCUGGAUUCAGCGUCGGACGGGUGAGUAAUGCCUAGGAAUCUGCCUGGUAGUGGGGGAUAACGUCCGGAAACGGGCGCUAAUACCGCAUACGUCCUGAUGGAGAAAGUGGGGGAUCUUCGGACCUCACGCUAUCAGAUGAGCCUAGGUCGGAUUAGCUAGUUGGUGGGGUAAAGGCCUACCAAGGCGACGAUCCGUAACUGGUCUGAGAGGAUGAUCAGUCACACUGGAACUGAGCCACGGUCCAGACUCCUACGGGAGGCAGCAGUGGGGAAUAUUGGACAGUGGGCGAAAGCAUGACACAGUCAUGCCGAGUGUGUGAAGAAGGUCUUCGGAUUGUAAAGACCUUUAAGUUGGGAGGAAGGGCAGUAAGUUAAUACCUUGCUGUUUUGACGUUAACAACAGAAUAAGCACCGGCUAACUUCGUG